rnacentral:rRNA from 1 species
CCCUUAGACGUUCUGGGCCGCACGCGCGCUACACUGACGAAGGCAACGAGCUACUCUUCACCGAAAGGUGUGGGUAAUCUUUUGAAACUUCGUCGUGCUGGGGAUAGAUCCUUGCAAUUUUUGAUCUUAAACGAGGAAUUCCUAGUAAGCGCAAGUCAUCAACUUGCGUUGAUUACGUCCCUGCCCUUUGUACACACCGCCCGUCGCACCUACCGAUUGAAUGGUCCGGUGAAGCCUCCGGAUUGGCGCGCACCUCGGUGCCGCCGAGAAGUUGGCUAAACCUUACCAUUUAGAGGAAGGUGAAGUCGUAACA